rnacentral:misc_RNA from 1 species
UGCGUGGGAGCAAGCUCGUACKUGGCCGCAUUCGGUUUUCCUGUGUUGCAUACCUAUUGCGAGGGCAUUCAGUUGGCUAAAACGGUUCCAUCUCCGCCUUGUGUCGGUGCUCCAUUCGGGCAUUUGGCACGGGGUGGAUCUCACGGCGUGCGUUGUGUUUCGCGCCGCAUUCACCUAAUUUGGUGUUUGGGUAGGCGACCCAUGACGUGAUGCCCGUUCUCUCGGGUACGGAAUAUCGGGUGGGUUCGAGGCCUUGUCCUUUGAUCACCACACAAUAGCGUUCUACGCUUUAUGCGAACGACUGCUGCACACGACCCUCGGUGGAGCACUUGCUGUUCUAUCGAAGUCGCGUCAGCGUCGGUGAGGGAUGC